AUGGGCCCUCUUGUGGUAGACCCACAUGUCAUCGGUGUAACUAUUUACACUCCGGAGGAUGGUGCCUAUAUCCUGGUAGUAGUACUAGUAGAAUUGAGAUUUAAUGCACUUUCUUCCCUGUCUUCCACUCUUCUUCCUCCUCUCUUCUUCUUCCUCCUCUCUUCCCCAUCGUCGGCCGCACACCAUUUACCCCCGCUCACUGCUCGCCCGCCCGCACCAUCUUCCUUGAGAUUCGUCGACACAGCUUGUUGCCAGUCGAAUAAGGAUUGGCCGGUGCUGCCGGCUGGCGUCAAGUUCGAUCCCACGAAUCGGGAGCUGAUCGAGCACCUUGAGGCUAAAGUGAGUGUUGACAGUGCGAGAUUUCAGUCUCUCAUCGAUUUGUUCAUACCAACCAUCGACAGCGAGCACGGCAUAUGCUACACCCAACCUGAGAAACUUCCAGCAAAAAAGGUUCUGGUGCUGCACACCAACAAGAACUUCGACCAGCAGAGGACCAACUGGGUGAUGCACCAGUACCACCUCGGGGACCUGGAGCAAGAGAAGGAGCGGGAGCUGGUCCUCUGCAAGAUUUUCUACCAAACGAACACUAGGGCCAGGAGUAUUUUGGUAUUGGUAGUUGUACUACCUUGUCGUCCGCAAGUUGGUAUUGUUGUUAACGAUCUUUUGGCCCAGCCCAUGACGACAACGGGGCACAAAGAUCCAGCAGGUAUCUACUGGCCUCUGGCCCGCCAGUGUUAG
rnacentral:rRNA from 1 species